UUAACGGAGAGUUUGAUUCUGGCUCAGAACGAACGCUGGCGGCGUGGAUAAGACAUGCAAGUCGAGCGAGAUUUUUUCCUGUAGCAAUACAGGGAAAAGUCUAGCGGCGAACGGGUGCUUAACACGUGGGCAAUCUGUCUUAAAGUGGGGGAUAGCUCGGCGAAAGCCGAAUUAAUACCGCAUGUGAUUAGAGUGGACAUCCAUUCGAAAUUAAAGUCGGGGCAACCUGACGCUUUUUGAGGAGCCCGCGGCCUAUCAGCUAGUUGGUGAGGUAACGGCUCACCAAGGCUUUGACGGGUAGCUGGUCUGAGAGGACGACCAGCCACACUGGGACUGAGACACGGCCCAGACACCUACGGGUGGCAGCAGUCGAGAAU
rnacentral:rRNA from 1 species